UUUUAUGGAGAGUUUGAUCCUGGCUCAGGAUAAACGCUGGCGGCGUGCCUAAUACAUGCAAGUCGAGCGAACGGACGAGAAGCUUGCUUCUCUGAUGUUAGCGGCGGACGGGUGAGUAACACGUGGAUAACCUACCUAUAAGACUGGGAUAACUUCGGGAAACCGGAGCUAAUACCGGAUAAUAUUUUGAACCGCAUGGUUCAAAAGUGAAAGACGGUCUUGCUGUCACUUAUAGAUGGAUCCGCGCUGCAUUAGCUAGUUGGUAAGGUAACGGCUUACCAAGGCAACGAUGCAUAGCCGACCUGAGAGGGUGAUCGGCCACACUGGAACUGAGACACGGUCCAGACUCCUACGGGAGGCAGCAGUAGGGAAUCUUCCGCAAUGGGCGAAAGCCUGACGGAGCAACGCCGCGUGAGUGAUGAAGGUCUUCGGAUCGUAAAACUCUGUUAUUAGGGAAGAACAUAUGUGUAAGUAACUGUGCACAUCUUGACGGUACCUAAUCAGAAAGCCACGGCUAACUACGUGCCAGCAGCCGCGGUAAUACGUAGGUGG
rnacentral:rRNA from 1 species